GUAUAUCUCAACUGCUUUGACUUCUUUUUGUUUGUUGAAGUGAAGUUGGACUUGGAGGACAAAUGCUGGCGCAGGCCUCGCUUGCUUGUUGGCUCCUCUUCAACGGAUGAAGCUUUUCCUGAGAGGGACUGACCGAUGUGAUAAGUAUCUGCAUCUGACGUCCGCCUUUUUAAAAAGCUUUGUUGCAUCUUCUACUUGACUA
rnacentral:misc_RNA from 1 species